rnacentral:tRNA from 1 species
GCGUCCGUAGCUCAGCUGGAUAGAGUACCUGGCUACGAACCAGGCGGUCAGAGGUUCGAAUCCUCUCUGACGCGCCA